rnacentral:lncRNA from 1 species
AGUUAAUUUUGUAAGGUCAUGUUUGUCGGAAAUCAGAGAGUGGGAGUUUCGGAGACUCUGGUCUAUAAAACGUGUUUAUAAAUUAUUUUUUUUUGAGAGAAAGGUAGGCUUGCUACUUGCUUUAUUCAUAGCGAAUAUGAACUGAGCUACAGAAGUGGGGCAACUGGCCCCGAGAAUCAUAAACGUCCCAAACAAGGUUCGAUAAAAAAUAAAAAAUAAAAAAAAA